rnacentral:tRNA from 1 species
GCGAGUGUAGCUCAGUUGGUAGAGCAUUCCGCUGAUACCGGAAAGGUCCAAGGUUCAAAUCCUUGCGCUCGCA